rnacentral:rRNA from 1 species
AAUCAACGCUGGCGGCGUGCCUCAGACAUGCAAGUCGAACGAUUAAGACUUCCUUCGGGAAGUGUAUAAAGUGGCGCACGGGUGAGUAACACGUAAGUAAUCUACCUUCGAGUGGGGAAUAACAUCGGGAAACCGAUGCUAAUACCGCAUAAUGCAGCGGCAUCGCAAGAUGACAGUUGUUAAAGGAGCAAUUCGCUUGAAGAGGAGCUUGCGGCAGAUUAGCUAGUUGGUAAGGUAAUGGCUUACCAAGGCUACGAUCUGUAUCCGGUCUAAGAGGACGGUCGGACACACUGACACUGAAUAACGGGUCAGACUCCUACGGGAGGCAGCAGUCGGGAAUUUUGGGCAAUGGGCGAAAGCCUGACCCAGCAACGCCGCGUGAGGGAUGAAGCAUUUCGGUAUGUAAACCUCGAAAGAAUGGGAAGAAUAAAUGACGGUACCAUUUAUAAGCUCCGGCUAACUACGUGCCAGCCGCCGCAGUAACAC